rnacentral:tRNA from 1 species
GGUAGCUCAAUGGUAGAGUGCUUGCCUUGCAUGCAAGAGGCCCUGGGUUUGAUUCCUCAGUACCA